ensembl:lncRNA TTTY7 testis expressed transcript, Y-linked 7
AGGCAGGCUCAGGUAACCAACUCUCAGGGCUGUCAUCCUGACUAAGCAGAGGAAAAUGGUACAGGCAGAACUGAACUAGGGUGGGAUAAAAGGCUGCCUGAGAUAACCCACUGCCUUACCCAAAAGGUCUAGACUCUAGAGCCCUUUUGGGCAGUCUCCAUGGUCAGGUCCAACUGAAAGAGGAGUCAUUUUGAGACUGUGAGGUGGUCGCUGCAAUCUGCUCCUCUGUCUCCAUUCCAAAAAGAGACUGUGUGUAAGAGUCUGCUCUCUUGGGGAUUGGAAUACCAUCUGGAGAUGUUGUGAGACCCCAUGCACUGCUCACCAGAUUAUAUCCUCAACACUACCUGAACUUAUUGCUUCUCAUUAUGUUCGAGGAUGAAAUUUCAAGGCAAUGCUGGAGUGGCCACUCACAACAUGAAGCACAUGCUUGGCUGUGAACCAAAUAUGAGGUCCCAGGAUAAAAUCCCAACAUGAUGGAGGAGUGCCCCCUCAUUAUGUGAAGCACCUGCUGGGCUUGGAACCAAAUUCAGUGUGAAGGUGCAGGUCCCCAUCCACCCCUCAUCAGGUUGUAUCCUCACCCCUAUCUGACCUUAUUGCCAUUCACACUCUAUGACCCAGGAUGAAAUCCCAAGAUGAUGGAGGAGUGAACCCUGACGACAGGAAGUACCUGCUCACCUAUGAACAAAAUUUGAGGAUCGUGGGACUAUCCUGUGGAUCCCACAGAGAAGAGAGAGGACAGUCCACCACUGAUGCACCUCCACAGAGGUCUCCUUCUCCGCCAAACCUCACGGAAUUGUGACAUUCAUGGCGAAUGUGCGGGACCCCAUCCAUCCCUCACCAGCUUGUAUCCUCAGCUUUAUCUGAAGUUAAAAGUAUCUUUCCCAUAAUGAAAUCCAAAGAUGAUGGAAGAGUGCCCCCUCACGGUGUGGAGGUCCUGCUUGGCUAGCAACUGAAUAUGAAGUAAAUUCAAGGGACCCUGCGGACCGGACUGCUAGUGUUUCUAAAUGGGGUGUACACUGGACAAUAAAACACUGAAAGAUUUCUGUUCCUGAA